rnacentral:lncRNA from 1 species
CUGCCGGUCGGCAGAAGACCAAGUGACCAUAUUUAUAUUCCCCAGUCACCCUUGGGGACAAGUGGCACUAUAACAAUACCAGUGUGAUAUACCCGCAUUUGACAAGCUGUUACAUGUGUCAAGUCAGGCAGCAUUUAGAGGAUGCUCAAACUGCAGAGAAACUGGGGAGAUCAGUUUUACCUACCAACCAUCAUCUACGAUUAGACACCACAAACUUACAUCAAAGAGGGAGGUAUCUUCAACAACUCAGCACAUGUAUACCAACGAAGAAGAGUAUGACCUAUGGAAGCAGUAUGAUGAU